rnacentral:hammerhead_ribozyme from 1 species
AUCCGACUGACGAGUCUGAAAUAGGACAAAACGCUCGUCCUGGAU